UAAUUUUUUUUCCUCCUCUCUUCUUCCUCACACAACACGAUUCUCUCUAUUUUUUUCUCUCUCUUUAAUUUUUAUUUUUCCCUUCCUCCUCACGAAACACGAUUUCCUCUCUUAAGUUUUUCUUCAUCUUCUCAUCUCCUCCUCUUCUCAAAAUGAUUCUCUCUCUCGUAUUUGGUGUGACUUCAUCCUAAACAAAGAGCGCCGUCGAGAUCCAAAGCUUCCUUUCCUGAGCUUGACAUCGGCGACUGGUGGUGGUAUGGGUAUGAGCUUGGUCGGAGACAAGGGACUUCACGCCAAGGGUUUGAACUGGUUGGCUCUUUUCUGACGUUUUUGUGCUUUAGAUGGAGAAACGGAUCUGUAUUAGGGUUUGUUGGUGGCAGUUUGGAGAGAGCAAUUCAAGCCUCGUGGCUGUGCUCACAAGAGGAUGCAAUAUAUAGAACCUGUGUGCCAAAAGAGGUAAAGGAGGAGGGGGGAUUGGAUCAAGUGGAGAAGGAGUUCUCUAUGACCCUGAUUUCCUCAUGGUAGCCGACGAUCCCAACUCCUAUCGUCCCAGUGUUCAAUCACCCGGAGUGGAAAUGAAAGGCUUUUUUCUAAAACUGCAGGUUCACAUCCAGGAGAUAAGGUACCUUUUUCAUUUCUGUUUGAUUUUGAUGAGACAUUGUGGUAAGAGUUCAUCAAAUCCAAUUGUUAAACCAACAAUUUAGUUAAGAAUGUAAUCAGUUUAGAAAAGAGUUAGGUGCUGUUAUCAUGCGUCUAGGUGUUGUGGAAGCCUCUGGGCUUAUGGAGAGCUGAGACUGCUCGUUGAUAUACUCUCAUUUUGUGUUUGUUGUAACUGACAAAUAUCAUUUGGUUAAUUGUGUUGUUUUUUGUUGGUCGCAAUAUAUCAGGAGUGAAUUAAAAAAGAAAAUUGUUCACAUAUUCCCUCUCUCUGCUCUCUGAACCUAUCAAAUUGGUUUUAAGAUUGUUUUGUCAAUGAAUAUAUUGGUUUUCGGAGGAAAUGUUUAUGUUGGUUCUCAUAUCUGCAAGGAGGCACUGAGACAAGGUUUCUCCGUAUCUAGUCUUAGCAGGUCUGGAUGAUCUACUUUGCAUAAUUCAUGGGUCGAGGAUGUAUUCUGGCAUCAGCCUGCACUAGAAGGAAUAACAUCUGAGAUUUCAUUUGUUGGUGGUUUCUGUUCCAACUCACAUAUGGUCAAGAUGGGUAUUGAGCCAGGUUUGCAAGUUGUAAACCAGAUGAAAGCUUCUUCGGGCAAAUACAACAGCAAGUUUGAGAUUUCUUUCAAGGCGAUAAAGGUCAAGCUUGAGAUCCGAGGACGAUACUGAGCAACCUAUCCUUUAUUCACAAGUUUAUAAACUUAUUUUUUAAUU